rnacentral:tRNA from 1 species
AGAACUGUGCCUGAAUAAUAGGACCACUUUGAUAGAGUGUGUCAUGAAGGUUAAACUCCUUCCAGUUCUC